UACGUAGGGAGCAAGCGUUAUCCGGAUUUAUUGGGUGUAAAGGGUGCGUAGGCGGCUUUUUAGGUCUAAGGUUUAAGCCCGGAGCUUAACUCCGGUUCGCCUUAGAAACCGAUUCGCUUGAGUAUGGUAGAGGCAAGUGGAAUUUCUAGUGUAGCGGUAAAAUGCGUAGAUAUUAGAAGGAACACCAGUGGCGAAGGCGACUUGCUGGGCCAUUACUGACGCUGAGGCACGAAAGCGUGGGGAGCAAA
rnacentral:rRNA from 1 species